ACUCCUACGGGAGGCAGCAGUAAGGAAUAUUGGGCAAUGGGCGGGAGCCUGACCCAGCCAUGCCGCGUGCAGGAAGACGGCCCUAUGGGUUGUAAACUGCUUUUCUAUGGGACUAACCGCCCUUACGUGUAGGGGUCUGCAUGUACCAUAGGAAUAAGCAUCGGCUAACUCCGUGCCAGCAGCCGCGGUAAUACGGAGGAUGCGAGCGUUAUCCGGAUUUAUUGGGUUUAAAGGGUGCGUAGGCUGGUAAAUAAGUCAGUGGUGAAAAAUUCGGGCUCAACCUGAAUCCUGCCAAUGAAACUGUUUACCUGGAGUGUAAACGAAGUGGGCGGAAUGAGGGGUGUAGCGGUGAAAUGCAUAGAUAUUCCUCAGAACACCGAUAGCGAAGGCAGCUCACUAGGAUACAACUGACGCUGAGGCACGAAAGCGUGGGUAUCAAACAGGAUUAGAAACCCCUGUAGUCC
rnacentral:rRNA from 1 species